UACGUAGGGUGCAAGCGUUUAAUCGGAAUUACUGGGCGUAAAGCGUGCGCAGGCGGUUGUGCAAGACAGAUGUGAAAUCCCCGGGCUCAACCUGGGAAUGGCAUUGGUGACUGCACGGCUAGAGUGUGUCAGAGGGGGUAGAAUUCCACGUGUAGCAGUGAAAUGCGUAGAGAUGUGGAGGAAUACCGAUGGCGAAGGCAGCCCCCUGGGAUAACACUGACGCUCAUGCACGGAAAGCGUGGGGAGCAAACAGG
rnacentral:rRNA from 1 species